rnacentral:rRNA from 1 species
GGUUUGAUCAUGGCUCAGAUUGAACGCUGGCGGGAUGCUUUACACAUGCAAGUCGAACGGCAGCACGGACUUCGGUCUGGUGGCGAGUGGCGAACGGGUGAGUAAUGUAUCGGUAACGUGCCUAGUAGCGGGGAUAACUACGCGAAAGCGUAGCUAAUACCGCAUACUGGCCCUUCGGGGGAAAGCGGGGGACCUUCGGGCCUCGCAGGUGUAGGUAAUUUAUUAGGAGCGGCCGAUAUCGGAUUAGCUAGUUGGUGGGGUAACGGCUCACUGGUUAUGACGAUCCAGCUGGUUUGAGAGGACGACCAGCCACACUGGGACUGAGAUGGCCCAGACUCUACGGGAGGCAGCAGGGAAUUUUGGACAAUGGGGAAACCCUGAUCCAGCCAUCCCGCGUGUGCGAUGAAGGCCUUCGGGUUGUAAAGCACUUUGGCAGGAAAGAAACGGCACGGGAUAAUACCUCAGCAACUGGAUUGGUACCUGCAGAAUAAGCACCGGCUAACUACGUGCCAGCAGCCGCGGUAAUACGUAGGUGCAAGCGUUAAUCGGAAUUACUGGGCGUACAAAAAGUAGGCGGUUCGAAAGAAAGAUGCAAAAUCCCAGGAGCUUAACUUUGAACUGCAUUUUUAACUACCGAGCUAGAGUGUGUCAGAGGGAGGUGGAAUUCCGCGUGUAGCAGUGAAAUGCGUAGAUAUGCGAGGCUCCACCGAUGGCGAAUAGCGCCUCCUGAUAACACUGACGCUCAUGCACGAAAGCGUGGGGAGCAAACAGGACAGAUACCCUGGUAGUCCACGCUCUAAACGAUGUCAAAUUAGCUGCUGGGGCCUUCGGGCCUUGGUAGCGCAGCUAACGCGUGAAGUUGACCGCCUGGGGAGUACGGUCGCAAGAUUAAAACUCAAAGGAAUUGACGGGACCCGCACAAGCGGUGGAUGAUGUGGACACCUCGAUGCAACGCGAAAACCUUACCUACCCUUGACAUGUCUGGAAUCCUGAAGAGAUUUGGGAGUGCUCGCAAGAGAACCGAACACAGGUGCUGCAUGGUUGUCAGCUCGUGUCGAGAUGUUGGGUUGGGUCCUGCAACGAGCGCAACCUUGUCAUUAGUUGCUACGAAAGGGCACUCUAAUGAGACUGCCGGUGACAAACCGGAGAAGGUGGGGAUGACGUCAAGUCCUCAUGGCCCUUAUGGGUAGGGCUUCACACGUCAUACAAUGGUCGGGACAGAGGGUCGCCAACCCGCGAGGGGGAGCCAAUCCCAGAAACCCGAUCGUAGUCCGAUCAGCUCCUGCAACCCCGACUGGUGCGAAGUCGGAAUCGCUAGCACUGUGGAUCAGCAUGUCGCGGUGGAAUACGUUCCCGGGGUCUUGUACACACCGCCCGUCACACCAUGGGAGUGGGUUUACCAGAAGUAGUUAGCCUAACCGUAAGGGAGGGCGAUUACCACGGUAGGAUUCAUGACUGGGGUGAAGUCGUAACAAGGUAG